GACGAACGCUGGCGGCGUGCUUAACACAUGCAAGUCGAACGAUGAAGAAGAGAAACGCGAACUUCGGUUCAAAUUUCACUUCGGAUUAGUGGCAGACGGGUGAGUAACGCGUGAGCAACCUACCUCUUACAAAGGGAUAGCCUCGGGAAACCGUGAUUAAUACCAUAUGACACAUUCAUAAGGCAUCUUAAGAAUGUUAAAGCUACGGCGGUAAGAGAUGGGCUCGCGUCCCAUUAGCUAGUUGGUGAGGUAACGGCCCACCAAGGCGACGAUGGGUAACCGACCUGAGAGGGUGAACGGUCACAUUGGAACUGAGACACGGUCCAAACUCCUACGGGAGGCAGCAGUGGGGAAUAUUGCACAAUGGAGGGAACUCUGAUGCAGCGACGCCGCGUGAGCGAUGAAGGAAUUCGUUUCGUAAAGCUCUGUUCUAUGGGAAGAAAAGGACUGUACCAUAGGAGAAAGCCCCGGCUAAAUACGUG
rnacentral:rRNA from 1 species